rnacentral:tRNA from 1 species
GGGCCCAUAGCUCAGCCGGUUAGAGCAGCGGACUCAUAAUCCGUUGGUCGCAGGUUCGAAUCCUGCUGGGCCCACCA